UCUCCGUAGGUGAACCUGCGGAGGGAUCAUUACAGAGUUCGUGCUCUCACGGGUAGAUCGCCCACGCGCUGUUGUUAUACCUCUGUUGCUUUGGAGAGCCGCCCUCCGCCACCGGCCCCGGCUGGUACGCGCCCGCCAGAGGACCCCAAACUCCGGAUGUUAGUGUCGUCUGAGUACUAUAUAAAAGUUAAAACUUUCAACAACGGAUCUCUUGGUUCUG
rnacentral:misc_RNA from 1 species